rfam:Sordaria macrospora k-hell, WGS project CABT02000000 data, contig: 2.32
GCGGGUUUAGCUCAGUUGGGAGAGCGUCAGACUGAAGUCCACUUCACUCAUAUAUCUGAAGGUCGUGUGUUCGAUCCACACAAACCGCA